rnacentral:rRNA from 1 species
CCUACGAGUGGCAGCAGUGAGGAAUAUUGGUCAAUGGGCGCGAGCCUGAACCAGCCAAGUAGCGUGAAGGAUGACUGCCCUACGGGUUGUAAACUUCUUUUAUAAAGGAAUAAAGUGAGGCACGUGUGCCUUUUUGUAUGUACUUUAUGACUAAGGAUCGGCUAACUCCGUGCCAGCAGCCGCGGUAAUACGGAGGAUCCGAGCGUUAUCCGGAUUUAUUGGGUUUAAAGGGAGAGUAGAUGGGUUGUUAAGUCAGUUGUGAAAGUUUGCGGCUCAACCGUAAAAUUGCAAUUGAUACUGGCAGUCUUGAGUACAUUUGAGGUAGGCGGAAUUCGUGGUGUAGCGGUGAAAUGCUUAGAUAUCACGAAGAACUCCGAUUGCGAAGGCAGCUUACUAAACUGCCACUGACAUUGAUGCUCGAAAGUGUGGGUAUCAAACAGGAUUAGAUACCCGAGUAGUC